AAUCAACGCUGGCGGCGUGCCUCAGACAUGCAAGUCGAACGAGAACCUCCCUUCGGGGAGGGGACAGUGGCGCACGGGUGAGUAACACGUGGGUAAUUUACCUUUGGGUGGGGAACAACAGCCGGAAACGGCUGCUAAUACCGCAUAAUGCAGCGGCUCGACAUCGAGACAGUUGUUAAAGCGGGGGAUCGCAAGACCUCGCGCCUAAAGAGAAGCCCGCGGCGGAUUAGCUAGUUGGAGGGUAAUGGCCUACCAAGGCAACGAUCUGUAACCGGCCUGAGAGGGGCGGUCGGUCACACUGACA
rnacentral:rRNA from 1 species